rnacentral:rRNA from 1 species
GACGAACGCUGGCGGCGUGCUUAACACAUGCAAGUCGAACGGAAAGGCCCUGCUUUUGUGGGGUGCUCGAGUGGCGAACGGGUGAGUAACACGUGAGUAACCUGCCCUUGACUUUGGGAUAACUUCAGGAAACUGGGGCUAAUACCGGAUAGGAGCUCCUGCUGCAUGGUGGGGGUUGGAAAGUUUCGGCGGUUGGGGAUGGACUCGCGGCUUAUCAGCUUGUUGGUGGGGUAGUGGCUUACCAAGGCUUUGACGGGUAGCCGGCCUGAGAGGGUGACCGGCCACAUUGGGACUGGGAUACGGCCCAGACUCCUACGGGAGGCAACAGUGGGGAAUAUUGCACAAUGGGCGGAAGCCUGAUGCAGCAACGCCGCGUGCGGGAUGACGGCCUUCGGGUUGUAAACCGCUUUCGCCUGUGACGAAGCGUGAGUGACGGUAAUGGGUAAAGAAGCACCGGCUAACUACGU